rnacentral:rRNA from 1 species
UACGAAGGGGGCUAGCGUUGCUCGGAAUCACUGGGCGUAAAGCGCACGUAGGCGGAUUCCUAAGUCGGGGGUGAAAUCCUGGAGCUCAACUCCAGAACUGCCUUCGAUACUGGGAAUCUUGAGUCCGGGAGAGGUGAGUGGAACUGCGAGUGUAGAGGUGAAAUUCGUAGAUAUUCGCAAGAACACCAGUGGCGAAGGCGGCUCACUGGCCCGAUACUGACGCUGAGGCACGAAAGCGUGGGGAGCAAACAGG